rnacentral:rRNA from 1 species
UACGGAGGGGACUAGCGUUGUUCGGAAUUACUGGGCGUAAAGCGCACGUAGGCGGCUUUUUAAGUCAGGGUGAAAUCCUGGAGCUCAACUCCAGAACUGCCUUUGAUACUGGGAAGCUUGAGUCCGGAAGAGGUGAGUGGAACUCCGAGUGUAGAGGUGAAAUUCGUAGAUAUUCGGAAGAACACCAGUGGCGAAGGCGGCUCACUGGUCCGGUACUGACGCUGAGGUGCGAAAGCGUGGGAGCAACAGG